GCCGGGUGUGGUGGCUCACGCCUGUAAUCCCAGCACUUUGGGAGGCUGAGGCAGGCGGAUCACCUGAGGUUGGGAGUUCGAGACCAGCCUGACCAACAUGGAGAAACCCUGUCUCUA
ensembl:misc_RNA Metazoa_SRP Metazoan signal recognition particle RNA